UACGGAGGGUGCAAGCGUUGCUCGGAAUCACUGGGCGUAAAGCGUACGCAGGCUGUUCGCUAAGUCGGGUGUGAAAGCCCAGGGCUCAACCCUGGAAUGGCGCCCGAAACUGGCGAGCUUGAAUGCGGGAGAGGGAAGCGGAAUUCCUGGUGUAGAGGUGAAAUUCGUAGAUAUCAGGAGGAACACCGGUGGCGAAAGCGGCUUCCUGGCCCGACAUUGACGCUCAUGUACGAAAGCGUGGGGAGCAAACAGG
rnacentral:rRNA from 1 species